AACCCAUGGUGAAGGCACCUUCUUAAUAAGUCCUUUUAUCUCUCCCAUGCAUCAUAAAGAGUUUCUAGAUCCAUUUGCACAAAAGAAGAGAUAUCAUUCCUUAAUU
rfam:Gossypium hirsutum cultivar TM-1 chromosome 9, whole genome shotgun sequence